rnacentral:misc_RNA from 1 species
GAAAUGCGAUACGUAAUGCGAAUUGCAUCUCUUAGUGAGUCAUCAAAAUUUUGAACGCAACUGGCACUUCUGCUUGCAGGAGUAUGUCUGUUGGAGUGUCUGUUCAUUCCCACAAAGCCAAACCAAUUUUAUUAUUGGUUUUGUGCUUUUGAGACAACUGUUUCAAACUAUAUUAUGUAUGUUUGGAACAGGUUCAGAUGUGAUCCGUAACUAGCUCUCUUGUUUGGCAAGAAGCCUUUUUACACACUUUCAGCACGUCGCCUCUGCACUAGCAAUAGUACAUACGGCGUGACUUGAUAUGCGUAAAGCUUAAUAGGCAACUUAUCACCAGCAAGAGUAAAUUUUAUAUCAGUUCGGACCUCCAAUCAGGCAAGAUUACCCGCUGAAUUUAA